rnacentral:rRNA from 1 species
AAGAGGUCCAGCCUGCCCAGUGACAUCCGUUCAACGGCCGCGGUAUCCUAACCGUGCGAAGGUAGCGUAAUCACUUGUCUUCUAAAUAAAGACUUGUAUGAAAGGCACCACGAGGGCCUAACUGUCUCCUUUUUCUAAUCAGUGAAACUAAUCUCCCCGUGAAGAAGCGGGGAUAUCCAUAUAAGACGAGAAGACCCUAUGGAGCUUUAAACUUUACAGCACCUGCUUUCCUACUACCCCCUUUCAGAAAACUAUCUCUUAUUAGCACUCUGUCUGUUAAGCUUUCGGUUGGGGCGACCCCGGAGAACAAUUAAUCCUCCGAGAUGAAUAAAUUUAUUUAGUAAAAAGUUACAACUUUACACAACAGUAAAACUGACAUUCAUUGACCCAAAAUUUGAUCAACGAACCAAGUUACCCUAGGGAUAACAGCGCUAUCCACUUUGAAAGUUCCUAUCGACAAGUGGGCUUACGACCUCGAUGUUGGAUCAGGGUAUCCCAGUGGUGCAGCCGCUACUAAAGGUUCGUUUGUUCAACGAUUAAAACCC